CAUAACAAUAGCAAUGUUUCACUUUCGAUUGAAAAUAUCGAACGAUCUCCGCUGAAUCGCGACAUUGCGUGCGCCGGCGGCGCGGCGUUGCGAACGCGCGGGCGAGGCGCGGACACGGGGAACCAGGGGGCCUAGCCAAAACGCAUUUCGAAAAAAGAUAUCGCUAACGAAUCGAUAAAAAAUGUAUGGGAAUGACAGGUACCGUAGAUGAGUCUGUCGAAAAAUAUUAACGAAUACAAAAAUGUUAGCCAAGUUGCAAUGUUGUAACGAAACGCAAAACUUUCGUUACCGGGAUUCGACAUCUGUCAUACAUUGUCUAGCCAAGUGACACUUUUGACAAGCGUUAUCGCCUCCUAGGUGUCGAUACGUAGCGCGAGCUAUCCCCUUGCAGAUAACUUACCGAAGCACAAGAAAAUACCGAAUAAUAGUGUUUGUAAAUUAGAAUUUGUAAUAAAAAGCAUACUUCAACAUUAUUGUGGGCGGCGAACAACGCGGAAGUGUCGCUUAGACGCAGGCGCCGUCUGAAAAAUCGCCUCUAUUGAAACUGCUUAGGAAAGGACUGCCCUUAGCUGGUGAUCUUAUCAUGUAUGCUACGAUCAAAGGAUUGUGGGCCGUACGCAGCAUUUCACCCAAAGGAUCCAAUGUGACCGAGGCGCUGAAUAUCUACCUAUCUAUAGUGACAGUGUCAUGGAAAAAUGGAUUAUGCACCCACAAAUGCAACACGAAACAAUGUCCCUACAAAGGUGACUUGGAUAUUCAUUGCAGCCUUGGCAUAUGAACCAAUACUUUAUGGUGCUCCAAAGUCAGGGUCAAGGGAAGAAACUAUGUCACAUGUACAACCACAAAAAUAUAUUGAGUGUUGUUUUACUAUUUUAAUACACUGUACAUAAUAUAUGUACAAACAAGAAAAGAAUGCUUGGCUACUGAUUUCAUGCUGCUGGCAAAAAAUACCUGCUGCAUCUUUCAUUAAUAGAUUUUCAAUAAAAUAAAUUAACUUUUUAACCCAA